rnacentral:rRNA from 1 species
GGCAGACGGGUGAGUAAUACAUAGGUAAUCUACCCUUGAGAUUGGGAUAACCCUGCGAAAGUGGAGCUAAUACCGAAUAAGACCACGCGACAUAAGUCACGUGGUAGAAGGUGGCUUGUAUUUAUACUAGCUAUCACUUGAGGAUGAGCCUGUGGCCUAUCAGCUAGUUGGUGAGGUAAUAGCUCACCAAGGCUAUGACGGGUAGCUGGUCUGAGAGGACGACCAGCCACACUGGGACUGAGACACGGCCCAGACUCCUACGGGAGGCAGCAGUGGGGAAUAUUGGGCAAUGGGCGAAAGCCUGACCCAGCGACGCCGCGUGGGUGAUGAAGGCCUUCGGGUUGUAAAGCCCUGUCAUGUGGGAAGAACGGCCCCAUGGUUAAUACCCAUGGGGAUUGACGGUACCACAGGAGGAAGCACCGGCUAACUCCGUGCCAGCAGCCGCGGUAAUACGGAGGGUGCUAGCGUUGUUCGGAAUUAUUGGGCGUAAAGGGCGCGUAGGCGGUUAUGUAAGUCAGAUGUGAAAUACUUCGGCUCAACCGAAGAACUGCAUUUGAUACUACUUAGCUAGAGUACAGAAGAGGGAAAUGGAAUUCCCGGUGUAGAGGUGAAAUUCGUAGAUAUCGGGAGGAACACCAGUGGCGAAGGCGAUUUCCUGGUCUGAUACUGACGCUGAGGCGCGAAAGCGUGGGGAGCAAACAGGAUUAGAUACC